rnacentral:rRNA from 1 species
UACGUAGGGGGCAAGCGUUGUCCGGAUUUAUUGGGCGUAAAGAGCGUGUAGGCGGCCAGGGAGGUCCGUUGUGAAAACUCGAGGCUCAACCUCGAGACGCCGAUGGAAACCCCUGGCUAGAGUCCGGAAGAGGAGAAUGGAAUUCCUGGUGUAGCGGUGAAAUGCGCAGAGUAUCAGGAAGAACACCCGUGGCUAAGGCGGUUCUCUAGUACGGUACUGACGCUGAGACGCGAAAGCGUGGGAGCGAACAGG